rnacentral:lncRNA from 1 species
GGGUGAUUAGCUGCUCCUUAAUUGAAAACUCCCUUUCUGCCCCCUCCAGCCCUCUGGGCGGUGCUCAGGCAGAGCGAUGGGGCCCGGGAGCACCCCUCAGCCGUGUGGGCCCCACAGGGGCCUCCCCCUGAACACAGACAGGGGUCUCUCUCACAGCCAACCUGACGGGGUCGGGGGGUUACCAGGACUGUUACCUCCGGGAGGGGAGGGGCCCAACUAGGAUUCAAACCUGUUGUGUCCCAGCCCCACAUCCAGUGCCAUGGACUGGGUGGGGCGGGGGGUGUCUUAUCCAGUAGGACCAGGUCCUGGAUGCACACCCUGGGGCUCAGAAUUCAGGUUUCAGACCCAGAUUUCACUCUCUGAUCCCCCAGGUCCCCCCAGUCCCCCCAGGUCCCCAUCAGGCUCCAGGGGUGCUGAGAUGUUCCCCAGUAGAAUGAAGGGUGCUCCAGGGGCAAGAAGCCAGCAAAGCCUCCCCAACCCCCACCCCAGCCACUGCUGCAGGGUCUCCAACAGGGCGACUUAAUUCCGCCUGUCACCAGGAUGUGGGCUGGGUUAUUUAUCUGGUGUAUAUAUGUAUUUUAAUUUAAAGAUCUGCCAGCCAGCAGGGCUGACUCCUGUGGUGCCCCCUCUGCCCCCCUCAUCUGAGAGAGGCUAUUCCCCACUACCUCCCCACACCCAGGCCUUCCCUGAGGAACCAGCGCCAGAGAAGGAGGCCAGCGCCGCCAACCUUGCUGGUGAGCAGAAGCACUCAAGUUCGAGUCCAUGCACCAAACACACUCACUUAAGGAGGACUCCCAACGCCGGUCCUGCCGCCGCGCGCCGCCGGCUCAGGCUCUCCAGCGGAGCCGCUGCGGAGGGUUCUGCCCAUAAUAAAGACUCCGGACCCGCCUGAGCCGCUGGGUGGCGCUCUCC